rnacentral:rRNA from 1 species
GAUGAACGCUGGCGGCGUGCCUAAUACAUGCAAGUCGAGCGAACAGACGAGGAGCUUGCUCCUCUGACGUUAGCGGCGGACGGGUGAGUAACACGUGGAUAACCUACCUAUAAGACUGGGAUAACUUCGGGAAACCGGAGCUAAUACCGGAUAAUAUAUUGAACCGCAUGGUUCAAUAGUGAAAGACGGUUUUGCUGUCACUUAUAGAUGGAUCCGCGCCGCAUUAGCUAGUUGGUAAGGUAACGGCUUACCAAGGCAACGAUGCGUAGCCGACCUGAGAGGGUGAUCGGCCACCCUGGAACUGAGACACGGUCCAGACUCCUACGGGAGGCAGCAGUAGGGAAUCUUCCGCAAUGGGCGAAAGCCUGACGGAGCAACGCCGCGUGAGUGAUGAAGGUCUUCGGAUCGUAAAACUCUGUUAUUAGGGAAGAACAAAUGUGUAAGUAACUAUGCACGUCUUGACGGGACCUAAUCAGAAAGCCACGGCUAACUACGU